CCUACGGGUGGCUGCAGUGGGGAAUAUUGGACAAUGGGCGAAAGCCUGAUCCAGCCAUGCCGCGUGUGUGAAGAAGGCCUUCGGGUUGUAAAGCACUUUCAGUGGGGAAGAAAGCCUUGGGGCUAAUACCCUCGAGGAAGGACAUCACCCACAGAAGAAGCACCGGCUAACUCCGUGCCAGCAGCCGCGGUAAUACGGAGGGUGCGAGCGUUAAUCGGGAUUACUGGGCGUAAAGCGCGCGUAGGCGGUCUGAUAAGCCGGUUGUGAAAGCCCCGGGCUCAACCUGGGAACGGCAUCCGGAACUGUCAGGCUAGAGUGCAGGAGAGGAAGGUAGAAUUCCCGGUGUAGCGGUGAAAUGCGUAGAGAUCGGGAGGAAUACCAGUGGCGAAGGCGGCCUUCUGGACUGACACUGACGCUGAGGUGCGAAAGCGUGGGUAGCAAACAGGAUUAGAUACCCUGGUAGUC
rnacentral:rRNA from 1 species